CAGUUUGGUAAGAGCGUCGAUAAUGUGCGCGCGACAUCUAUUGAUUUGGACACGAAAGAAUGUCGAAUGGGACACGACAAAGGAGCUCCUGAGAUAAAAACUGAUGUCGAAUCACACUCCACAUGGGAGUGCAAAGGAAAAUCUACAGUAUAAUAGCGAAAACUCUGCAACUCGACACAUUUGCCUACUACGCUGCUAUAUCCACUUCGAGUGAAAAAAUUCCAGCGACCAUGUACGAUGAUGAAAAACCGACCAAAAACGUCUAUGGAUUCACGGAGACAAAGAGGAAGAGGGGAUUGGAUGGCGUAAAAGCGCGUCAUGUCCGUGUCCAGCUCGUCAGAGCGAAACGUCGGCGCAGGCAACGCUCGUAAUUGGCUCUAGUUGGCCAAAUGAAAUAUUUAACGAAUAAAAUAAACGGAAAGCGGCGGUGACCUGCAUGUUAAA